UACAGAGGUCUCAAGCGUUGUUCGGAUUCAUUGGGCGUAAAGGGUGCGUAGGCGGCGUCGUAAGUCGGGUGUGAAAUCUCGGGGCUUAACUCCGAAAUUGCAUUCGAUACUGCGGCGCUUGAGGACUGGAGAGGAGACUGGAAUUCACGGUGUAGCAGUGAAAUGCGUAGAGAUCCGGAGGAACACCAGUGGCGAAAGCGGCCACCUGGACUGCACCUGACGCUGAAACGCGAAAGCUAGGGGAGCGAACGGG
rnacentral:rRNA from 1 species